ACUGGAAGAAAAACAAAAGGCAAAAUAAGCUUCAACCAAGAUUAAUAUUCUAACGUCAGUAAGUAUCUGCGUUUUAAUUCUGGGGAAAAGAAGCAACAAAACCAGCCUAUUGUAGAAAGCUGAGGACAAUGGAAACAAAUGUGCAGUUCUGUUUGAGAAAGGUCUGAGCUCUCUCUCUGGAACUAUAAGGAACUGCAAAUUAGAUGCAAGUUCCAAGUGAAACUGUAUUAUGCUUUCCCCAGGCUGCUUUCACAACAAGAGGCCGUGUUCUUAUCGUAAUGCCACCUGACCAGGAAACAUGGUUAGGCCUGCUGGUGAUCUCUGAAGGAAGAAGCUCUGCUGAAGCUCUCUUGAGCUAUGUCCACAGUAAAAAAGGCAACAGAAACUCCCUAAGCUGUCCCAUGCACUUAGAGAAAGGGAAUCAGCAAGCAGCAGCAACAUGCAGGGAGGAAGGGAAGGUGGACAGUUAGAAGUCAGGGCCUGCGCCAAAGCCAUUGAAGUCCAGACUACUUUGUAUUGGCUUUCAAUGGAUACUGGAUCAACACAUUGUGAGUCUUCUACAAUACACAGUGACUGAAGGAACACGUGUAGAUGAACAAGCACAGGUUUGUUUUGUAGUGCUUAAUAAAGACGGUGGAAAGAA